AGGGAGCCUGUCACCUUUGCUGGCAAAAGAGUUUCAUUACAGCAUAUUUUAGGAUAGAGCAGAUCUGGGCUGGGUUUGGGGGUUUUGUUUAUUUGGUUGGUUUGGUUUUGUGAAGCGGACUCUUGCUUGUGGACCAUGCUGGCCUCACUAUUGUACACUUGCCUCUGCCUCCGACCAGAAUUGUGUCUCCAAAGGACUUUCCCAGAGUCAGUGAGGCGGCUCCACAGGGAAGAAAAGAGAAGAGACAGCAGAGUGACAGAAGACAUGGUCUGGAGACACAGGUGCUAGGACCAUCAGGAGAGGAACGAUGGCCAUUUUGCACAAAGUAAAUGGAGCCCCUCGGCAUUCAGCUUCUCUCGAAGCUUUGCGGAGGCGCCUUUCCUUACACCUCCGACGCGUGCCGCAGAGGAACAAGUGGGCUUCCGUGGCACACGGCAGAUGGGGGCUCGCAGAAAGAGCAUUCGGAAGGUUCCCCAGCACCGUGUAGCCUGUACCGAAGGUAGGGAGGGAUGAAGGGGCCUCCGCCUUUCUUAGACAAGGAUCCCAGAGGCCAACAGUUCUAGACUAUCCUGACUAGUUCUCUGCAAGUCCUGAGAGUCCUUGUGAGUGCUAGCUCCAUGUGACCUGACCCUUCUGUGAAGGCCUAAAGUGUUCACCGUGUCCCCGUCUCUGAGACACUUCUCAGUCACAGGAAUAUAAAUACCCUUGUUCAUUGCCUUGGUCCCUCACCAUCCCUGCUUGCCCUAGACUGGGCUCCAGGCACUGGCUCAGAGUCCUUCACUCCACAAUCUUCUGCUUCAAGGACAUCCUCACUGACCUAAGCUCACUCGGUUUUCAUGUUGAGAUCCAAGGCCCAUGGCACCUCACCCCACAUUUACCCAGGAACAAUGGCCCAGUAUUGGGUAACUGGGUUCUGGCAAUGACUUUGCAACUUCUUUGAGUAAGAAUUAACUGUCAGCCCAGCCAGUCUUCUAUUGGGUACACAUGUCCCAGGACAUCUGUAGAGACAAGCCCAUACACAUUGAAGAGCGUACUCAAAAC